AGACCCGAAACCCGGUGAUCUAGCCAUGGGCAGGUUGAAGGUUGGGUAACACUAACUGGAGGACCGAACCGACUAAUGUUGAAAAAUUAGCGGAUGACCUGUGGCUGGGGGUGAAAGGCCAAUCAAACCGGGAGAUAGCUGGUUCUCCCCGAAAGCUAUUUAGGUAGCGCCUCGUGAAUUCAUCUCCGGGGGUAGAGCACUGUUUCGGCUAGGGGGCCAUCCCGGCUUACCAACCCGAUGCAAACUGCGAAUACCGGAGAAUGUUAUCACGGGAGACACACGGCGGGUGCUAACGUCCGUCGUGAAGAGGGAAACAACCCAGACCGCCAGCUAAGGUCCCAAAGUCAUGGUUAAGUGGGAAACGAUGUGGGAAGGCCCAGACAGCCAGGAUGUUGGCUUAGAAGCAGCCAUCAUUUAAAGAAAGCGUAAUAGCUCACUGGUCGAGUCGGCCUGCGCGGAAGAUGUAACGGGGCUAAACCAUGCACCGAAGCUGCGGCAGCGACACUCAGGUGUUGUUGGGUAGGGGAGCGUUCUGUAAGCCUGCGAAGGUGGCCUGUGAGGGUUGCUGGAGGUAUCAGAAGUGCGAAUGCUGACAUAAGUAACGAUAAAGCGGGUGAAAAGCCCGCUCGCCGGAAGACCAAGGGUUCCUGUCCAACGUUAAUCGGGGCAGGGUGAGUCGACCCCUAAGGCGAGGCCGAAAGGCGUAGUCGAUGGGAAACGGGUUAAUAUUCCCGUACUUGGUGUUACUGCGAAGGGGGGACGGAGAAGGCUAUGUUGGCCGGGCGACGGUUGUCCCGGUUUAAGCGUGUAGGUGUGUGUUCCAGGUAAAUCCGGUUCACUUUAACACUGAGGCGUGAUGACGAGGCACUACGGUGCUGAAGCAACAAAUGCCCUGCUUCCAGGAAAAGCCUCUAAGCAUCAGGUAACAUCAAAUCGUACCCCAAACCGACACAGGUGGUCAGGUAGAGAAUACCAAGGCGCUUGAGAGAACUCGGGUGAAGGAACUAGGCAAAAUGGUGCCGUAACUUCGGGAGAAGGCACGCUGACAUGUAGGUGAAGUGAUUUACUCAUGGAG
rnacentral:rRNA from 2 species